rnacentral:tRNA from 1 species
GCGAGCGUGGCGAAAUUGGCAGACGCGCUGGAUUCAGGUUCCAGUGGGGUAAAACUCGUGGAGGUUCAAGUCCUCUCGCUCGCACCA